ensembl:lncRNA
AUGCAGGGUGGAGUUCGGGAUUGAACUCCCAACUCCAGAGGAGCAAGGUAAAUGUGCUAACCUCUAAGUCACUGUGCCCCCUCUCAACUCUUCUUUUACAAGAUAAACCUGUAAAUUUCAGUAAAUUAAAGCCAUGUAUGCAAAUAAAUUUGAUACAAAGGCAAAAUUGUAUUCUGAUACAACUAUGACUAAUGAAGCAUAGCCUCUGAAUGUACACAAAGUCACCUUUGUUAUAAUGACUAUUAUAUGUAUAAUACAGCAGACUUAGGGAUCAAACUAACACUGUUUAGGAAAUUAACUAGCUAUGUUACUCUUGAGAUUCAUUCUAUAUGUAUUACACUAUAGCCUUACCGUAAAUGCACUCAAUCUGUCUUCAAGCAUGGUUUAACCCUUGGGAGACCCAGGUAUUUUCAGACACUCUGAUGAUUUUGGCAUGCUCUAAUAUUGUUGUCAGUUUGAACACAUGUAAGUCACGUGACUUUUUAGUAUUCAGCACAAGUUUACCUACCAUAAUAUCUAACUAGUAUGUGUUUCAUAAUGGUACAUUAAAAAUAAAUAACUGAUAAAUGAACCAGAUGUAACUGGGUAAAAAAAAACAAAACAAUCAUCACCGCCAGUGAUGACAUGGUCCCCAAAGAAUAGAAAGAGGCAGAUGGAGAAAGUGAGAGGAUUCCAGACAGCACACACUUUUUAUUUUUUCAGGGAAAAGAAGAAAAUGAGCCAAAAAACUCAAAGCAUUCCACAAGUUUUUUCCAUCUUCCAGUAAAGAGUCUGAGGGUCACGGGGAACCUGGAGCCUAUCCCAGGGAUCAUUGGGCACAAGGCGAGGGUGCACCCAGGACGGGGUGCCAAUCCAUCGCAGGGAACAAUUUCUUUUCGUGUCGUGGUGGAAGGAUUAGCCACUCAGAAGUAUGAUACUGAACGUUGCCCAGGGUGUGCCAGGGGAGGCUCCUUCCCACACCCAUUCACACACCCAUUCAUACACUACGGACACUUUGGACAUGCCAAUCCGCCUACCAUGCAUGUCUUUUGACUGGGAGGAAACCGGAGUACCUGGAAGAAACUCCCGCAGCAUGGGGAGAACAUGCAAACUCUGCACACACACAGGGCAGCGGUGGGAAUCGAACCCCCAAGCCUGGAGUUGUGAGGCGAACAUGCUAACCAGUAAGCAACCGUGUGCCCCCUUGUUAAAUACUUCAAUGUUGAAUGCCUGCUACAUAUGCUGUUAUUAUUAAUACAAAUGCAAUUAUUCGUAAGUUUCAUAUUUAUUCUUUUAAAAUGCAGUAUUUAGUUCAUGACUGGUGUUCUUUUUCCCAGAACUCAAUAUCGACAUUAAAUAAUAUCUUCAGUUCUACAUGUCUGU